rnacentral:rRNA from 1 species
GACGAACGCUGGCGGCGUGCUUAACACAUGCAAGUCGAACGGAAAGGCCCUGCUUUUGUGGGGUGCUCGAGUGGCGAACGGGUGAGUAACACGUGAGUAACCUGCCCUUGACUUUGGGAUAACUUCAGGAAACUGGGGCUAAUACCGGAUAGGAGCUCCUGCUGCAUGGUGGGGGUUGGAAAGUUUCGGCGGUUGGGGAUGGACUCGCGGCUUAUCAGCUUGUUGGUGGGGUAGUGGCUUACCAAGGCUUUGACGGGUAGCCGGCCUGAGAGGGUGACCGGCGACAUUGGGACUGAGAUACGGCCCAGACUCCUACGGGAGGCAGCAGUGGGGAAUAUUGCACAAUGGGCGGAAGCCUGAUGCAGCAACGCCGCGUGCGGGAUGACGGCCUUCGGGUUGUAAACCGCUUUCGACUGUGACGAAGCGUGAGUGACGGUAAUGGGUAAAGAAGCACCGGCUAACUACGUG